UUCAGGGGUAAACCUGAGAAACCCGAAAGGUCGAAAGGGGAGAUUCAGCGUGUCUCGAUCGUGGCGCUGGACGGUCGUGCGACGGACGGCGUACGCGUCGUCCGCGCCUUUCGUCCUCCGAACUGCGGUCGAACGCGUGCACUUCUCCCCCUGUAGGACGUCGCGAUUCGUCGGGUGUCGGCCUAAGGCUCGAGGUGGAGUUCGUCCGGACGUUUCGGCGUUCGUGACGAACCCUCGGUGUUUCCCGGUCGGCUCGCUCGACGAUAUACAGAUGGCGCGGGGCCGCUACGUUAGUUAGCGUUCGACCUUCGGCAAGCGCGCUCCUCGCGACGGUGAUCGGACCUGGUGCCGGUCCCGUCCCCGGGCGACUGUUGGCCGAAGUGUUCUCGAACAGACCUCGUUUUGAAACGCCGAUCUGCGACGCUAUAGCUUUGGGUACUUUC
rnacentral:rRNA from 1 species